ACUGCUGGACAACUGCGUCACUACAGGAAGAACUUCCCAGAGGAUGAAUGUACUUAUCAAAACAAACAAAACCACGUAUGCUUUCAACGAAAUGCUCGAGUGAACUUGCUAUUACCUCGAUUGAAACAACGUGCCGAUUUAAUUCUAGUGUUACUCCAUAUUUUUUUAGUGUUAACCGACAACAAAAAUGCCAUUUCAAGGAGUCAUGAGGAUUAUUUUACCGACGUUGUGGGCUAUUUCAACCAUAGCAGAGGAAUCCACGAUUUCGCCAACAGGCAUUACUACUGCCAUCAACACCAAACAUAUCACGAAUUCGAGUGCCAACAACACGACGUCCAAGAACAAUCACCGGAACUUUUUCAACGCUUUCAAUGUAGAUAAUUCAAUGAUACAAAGAACAUUGUAUGUCCUUAUUGGAAUCACCACAAUUGGAGUGCUCUAUUUCCUCGUGAGAGCUGUGCGGCUGAAGAAAACAACAACCUCUCGGAAGAAAUAUGGCCUGUUGUCAAACUAUGAUGACAGCGUGGAGAUGGCUGCUCUGGAGAGUGAUGAGGAGGAGGACGAUACUGUAUAUGAAGCCAGGUCCCUGAGAAAAUAAGUCCGGGUCUUGUCAAAGAACACAUAUUGGACUAGGGAAAGAAUGGAGACAUUCCCAAAGCAUAUUUUUCAAUGGUUAUUAUUGCAUAUCAUUGUUUUUCUUAUUCUCUUGGCCAUGAAAACAGCAAAACUGGCUAUCAAAAUGACUGCUCUAUCCUCUGAUGAACACUCAUGUUGUAUAGCUGCCUGGGUAUGAAGAAGACAUGGUGUUUUUGGUGACCAAACCGACCUUUGAUUCUAUCUGAAGAGGAAGAAAUGGGAUUUGUAACAUUACAAGACCAAACCAGUUGUGCUGGGUCUGAUGCCAAAGCUGCUUGAGUGAAUGUGAGCAGAAUAAUGUUUUCAAAUCAGCUCAGCGACAAUGCGUUGUAUUGUGUUAAGUGGACCACUAUGUCCCCUCUGCCCAUCUUGAACUGUGCAUAACAAAGACAACAAUGAACAAAAUGAAAUAUCUCAAUUAACCCGGUCAAUGUGGUGUUGCCAAGGUUUUAUUUCUUUGUCUCAAAAUACUGUUGCCAUGUCAUCCUAUAUAUUUUGAUGUCCACCUUGAAUCAUACCUGGACCAUUAGUUAGGCUAGUGGCUAAUAGCCUGAUUGUGUUUACAAACUACUGUAAACUAAACCAGCCUACCAAUAUCCCCACCCCAUUUGAACUAUGCACCAGCACCAGAAUGUUGUACUGUAGGAUGUACCUGCUCUAUUUGGAAGACCCAGACCUAAUAUGUUCACAAUACUAUUAACACAAAGGAGUUUUUCAGAAAGCAAGACUUAAGACAUUUUUACAAUCUCAGACAGUAUGGAAUUUGUCUCUAAUUAUAGCACCUUAUUUAGGAAAUGCAGGCUAAUCAAUAUGCAAUUCCACUGGCGAUCAUAAAUAUCACGCCCUCCUUUAUGUUUACCUGCAACUUUGUAAGAGAAGAUGUUACUCAUAUCAGUUAAACUGUAAAGAGAAAAAAAACAUGAUGGGAUUUUCUAAAGAAUGACUAAUUUCAGAGCUGGUUCUUUGCUUUUUGUUACACAUGGUUGCUGUUGACUGAUUUAAAUUGUAUUUAUGUUUAUGAAGUUCAUUUUCACUUUUUGAAACAUUUACACUGUGUUUUGUCCAGAGAACAAAAAAACAAGAUACUACAUUAUUUAAAAAAAAAAAUCCUUUACCAAUCCUUGGUUAGUCAAAAUAAGUUUUUGAAUCUAUUGUGUAUUACGUUUCCAAACCAUACUCAAGUUGCUGAAGCACUUACUUUUUAAGUGGAUCCCUGGAAGUCUCUGUCACUACUGUACUUGUUUCCAUAGCAAUUGCUAGGGGGAAACCCAACGAUAUGACAUACAUUGUAAAAUCUUGGUUAAUUGUACCUUUCUUUCCAGGAGGUAACUAUUGAUAGUAGAAUGUGAGGUUACUUUCCCGAUAAUCAGAAGAGAGAGUUCUCUCAAAAGGGCAGCUAUCCUGCUGAGAAUACUCCUAGGUGUCUCUCUUGUGAUUACACAUAUUGGAAAAAUUGAUUGUACCCUUUAAACAAUGUCAAUAUCUCUGCCAUUUUGCUCUGGCUAAAGUAGCAGGCCCAUUAAUCUGGCUGAUCACCCUGAUACCCUCCCUAAUGUAUCUCCAUAAGUCAUUUUGGAUGCUAUUCAAGAAGCGAAACUUGUGAUUGUGUUUCUGGGAUAAGUGUAAAACUACUAACUAAAUAAUUUGGGGGUGGAUGUGGGGGAGAAACAGUAUGUCUGUACUAGAAACAGUCAUAUUUUGUAAGAAUGUAAAUGCUGCACCUGAGCUGGGAACAGCAGCUGUUGGGAUGCCAGAUCACAUCGUUUGCUGGUGUAAUACGAUUUGUUUCGUCUCAAGGUGUUUUUCUGUCUGCAUUCCAUUCAGUCUGUGCUAAUCUUGUAUUUAAUGCUAGCGAUGUUAGUCACAUGAUUAAGGCCUCAUUGAAACUUCAAUUCUCUGACUGGAUCUAACAAAUAUAACAAUGACCUUCUCAGUUUGAAUAUCUAAUUUGUUACCAAUGCAGUUUUGACUUGUUUUCAUGGUUUUUUUCUCGCCAUCCUCUCUCUGUCAACUGUAUGGACAUUGUGAUCGGCAAUAUCAUUCCUUUGUCAAUACUUUGGUCUGUGUGAUACAGAAGUUACAGUCGUGUUGGGAAUGAGUUCAAAGUCUGUGUGUAUUAAGUCUUGUGUUCCCUGUUGAAGACUAGUAGUGAGUGCUGUGUGGAUGCAGCAGGGCCGAGGCCCUCUGGUUGGUGGUGGGUAGCCUUGUUCGAUUGUUCUGACACUUAGGCUGUUCCUGUUUGCUCUUUUCAAAUAACAAUGAAAAUAAAAACAGUGAAACUUUGACCAAAA